UACGAAGGGGGCAAGCGUUGUUCGGAAUUACUGGGCGUAAAGGGCUCGUAGGCGGCCAACUAAGUCAUACGUGAAAUCCCUCGGCUUAACCGGGGAACUGCGUCUGAUACUGGAUGGCUUGAGUUCGGGAGAGGGAUGCGGAAUUCCAGGUGUAGCGGUGAAAUGCGUAGAUAUCUGGAGGAACACCGGUGGCGAAGGCGGCAUCCUGGACCGAUACUGACGCUGAGGAGCGAAAGCCAGGGGAGCAAAACGGGG
rnacentral:rRNA from 1 species